rnacentral:misc_RNA from 1 species
GAUGAAGAACGCAGCGAAAUGCGAUACUUGGUGUGAAUUGCAGAAUCCCGUGAACCAUCGAGUCUUUGAACGCAAGUUGCGCCUCAAGCCAUUAGGUUGAGGGCACGUCUGCCUGGGCGUCACAUAUCGUUGCCUGAUGCCAGUUUCCUCGUGAUGGGUGACUGUGCAGGGCGAAUGAUGGCUUCCCGUGAGCAUUGUUGCCUCAUGGUUGGUUGAAAAUUGAGUCCUUGGUAGGGAGCGCCGUGAUAGAUGGUGGUUGAGUGACGAACGAGACCCAAUCAUGUGAGACCCCUACCGAAUUUGGCCUUCAUGACCCACAUGCGUCUUUGGAACGCUCAUGACGAGACCUCAGGUCAGGCGGGGCUACCCGCUGAGUUUAAGCUUAUCAAUAAGCGGAGGA